rnacentral:lncRNA from 1 species
UACCUUGCAUGUGCAGGCAGUGUCCCUCACUACUCUCUCGUUCUAGGCUUUGCCGUUGGCGUGCAGCAGCUACACCCGACGUUGGUCCAGCGGACUUAUGGGCUGACCCCUCACUACAUCUACCCGCAAGCCAUCGUGCAGCCCAGUGUGGUGAUCCCGGCCACGCCCGUCCCAUCGCUGUCCUCGCCCUACAUCGAGUACACGCCUGCCAGCCCGGCCUAUGCCCAGUACCCACCAGCCACCUACGACCAGUACCCAUAUGCCGCCUCGCCUGCCACAGCCGCCAGCUUUGUGGGCUACAGCUACCCAGCCGCCAUGCCACAGGCCCUGUCAGCCACGGCCCCCGCGGGGGCCGCUUUUGUGCAGUACCAAGCACCGCAGCUGCAGCCUGACAGGAUGCAGUGAGGGCCGUCCCCGCUGCAGGGACUGCGGUGACGUUGCCCACCCAGCAGACACAUUUGGGCCAGUGGCCGGCCGAGCUCUUGGCUCCACCAGCACCUGUGCCUCCAAGACCCCCUGGCACGUCCAGGCGGCGUCUCUUCAGGUCUAGGUCCCAUCGUGCCUUGAGGGGGACUUCAGGACGGAGUGACCAAGUAGCUGUCUGAAGAGGCGAGUGCAGGCCCCUCGCCCCUGGCCCACCCCCAGGCCUGGCUGCCCCCCACACUCCCGGUGCCGCGGGCCACGCUGACACCCUUUCCACCGAGGUGCCUUCUCAGGGAGACCUGGCAGGGAGAACCCAGGACUGUGGCCGGCUGCUGUGUGGGGACCGCCCUCCUCCUCCUCGAAGCCGCUUCCUGAGCGGGCCACCAGGUCCCCCCAGGUGCCAGUGAUGUCCUUUUCAGUGGACGCACUGCGCCUUUUCCUGUUCUUUGUUUGCUACUGAGCGAUUCCAGAAUUUCAAGUCUAUUUUUUCAACAGACACUGAUGCCACCAAGAACCCAGAACCUAACUUUGACUGAGAGACUUGUUUUUGUUGAUGGCUCCACCUAGAGAUGAUGACAGUAUUUCUGUGAUACAAUGUCUGCCGCCGGUUGAUCUGGCCCUUGGAAGGCAGGCAUCAUGGGACGAGAGGGCCCUCCUGGGCAACUGUUCACUGCCUGCUGGGCUGGUGAAGUGUGUUUGGCCACCAUGGUGAGUUCUCAGGUGUCUGUCACCACAUUGUUGCUGCGUGUCUCCCUGGGCCCUGCUCCUCCCACCUGGGAGUGCGCGCCAGCUGCUGUGGGACAGGACAGUGGCAGCCCAGCCCUCUGAGGCCCCUGCAAGGCUCUGAGUGCAGGUUCUGCGCCCACUCUCCUGUCGUCACCUGCUGCACGCAGCCCGGAACGCACCCUUCCUGCUGCUAAGAGGCGCAGUGGGGGCUUCUGGUUCGCUGUGCCAACUCCUGUGGGGCCCGGGACUAGAGGAUGAGGGGCUCCCAGCACAGAGGGGGCCCCCAGCAGGCGGGCAGCUGGGCUGUGCCUUUGCCCUACCUCAGGGAGCCGAGUGGCCGGUGUCCCAUGGCACGCCUGGAGUAGAGAAAGCCCGGAGGUGAAGGUAGCUAAUGUUAUGGUAUUUUUAUUAGAAUGUUCUGAUUAUAAAAAUAAAACUUGUUCUCUGUAAGGAGAGU